rnacentral:tRNA from 1 species
ACGCCGAUGGUGAAGUGGUUAUCAUGCUUGCCUUCCACUAGUCCGAGUGACGGUGCUAGCAAGCGGCACGGGUUCGAUUCCCGUUCGGCGUA